UACGAAGGGGGCUAGCGUUGCUCGGAAUCACCGGCGUAAAGCGCACGUAGGCGGAUUGUUAAGUCAGGGGUGAAAUCCUGGAGCUCAACUCCAGAACUGCCUUUGAUACUGAGGAUCUUGAGUUCGGGAGAGGUGAGUGGAACUGCGAGUGUAGAGGUGAAAUUCGUAGAUAUUCGCAAGAACACCAGUGGCGAAGGCGGCUCACUGGCCCGAUACUGACGCUGA
rnacentral:rRNA from 1 species